UACGAAGGGGGCUAGCGUUGUUCGGAAUCACUGGGCGUAAAGCGCACGUAGGCGGCGCGUUAAGUCAGGGGUGAAAUCCUGGAGCUCAACUCCAGAACUGCCCUUGAUACUGGCGUGCUCGAGUGUGGGGGAGGUUGGUGGAACUCCGAGUGUAGAGGUGAAGUUCGUAGAUAUUCGGAAGAACACCAGUGGCGAAGGCGGCCAACUGGCUCAUUACUGACGCUGAGGUUAGAAAUCGUAGGAAACAAACAGG
rnacentral:rRNA from 1 species